CCUACGGGCGGCAGCAGUGAGGAAUAUUGGUCAAUGGACGAGAGUCUGAACCAGCCAAGUAGCGUGAAGGAUGACUGCCCUAUGGGUUGUAAACUUCUUUUAUAUGGGAAUAAAACGUUCCACGUGUGGGAUUUUGUAUGUACCAUAUGAAUAAGGAUCGGCUAACUCCGUGCCAGCAGCCGCGGUAAUACGGAGGAUCCGAGCGUUAUCCGGAUUUAUUGGGUUUAAAGGGAGCGUAGGUGGAUUGUUAAGUCAGUUGUGAAAGUUUGCGGCUCAACCGUAAAAUUGCAGUUGAAACUGGCAGUCUUGAGUACAGUAGAGGUGGGCGGAAGUCGUGGUGUAGCGGUGAAAUGCUUAGAGAUCACGAAGAACUCCGAUUGCGAAGGCAGUUCACUGGACUGCAACUGACACUGAGGCUCGAAAGUGUGGGUAUCAAACAGGAUUAGAUACCCUGGUAGUC
rnacentral:rRNA from 1 species